GCUGGUUCCUGUGCCUACAAAGCCCUUUCUCCCUCCAUCCCAUUACAUUUCAGCAACGGAAGCCACUUUAUAUAAACCCUGCCCUGAUUCAGGAUCCUAGCUGGGAGCAACUCCCUUCCAGGGUCCCCUGACUCAAAAGCAAGGAAAUGGGAAAGGCGAAAAGUCCUAGAACAAAGCCAUCUUUUGCGUCUCAACACCGAGAACAGAAGCGUGGGGGGCCGACAGCGAAGGGCCUAACGUCCAAGCACUCACCUGCGCGGGGUCCCGCAGCGCCGCCGCUGCCAUCGGAGUCUGUGACUGGAUCUCCCUGUGAUGCCUAGGCUGGUCUCAAACUCCUGAGCUCAAGUGAUCCUCUCACCUCGGCCUCCCAAAGUGUUGGGAAUUGCAGGAGUGAGCCAUGGUGCCAGGCCUCCUUCUCUGUUUUAACAAGCCCUCUGGGGACUCCAAUGCUGGCUCCAACUUUACAGCAGGGACUCUCAUUGAAAUCCAGUAAAUAAAAUGGGAAAAAUAACACUACAUUGUUGCAGGAAGUCAGGGACCCCGAACGGAGGGACCUGCUGAAGCCGUGACAGAAGAACAUUAAUUGUGAAGAUUUCAUGGACAUUUAUUAGUUCCCCAAAUUAAUACUUUUAUAAUUUCUUAUGCCUGUCUUUACUGCAAUCUCUGAACAUAAAUUGUGAAGAUUUCAUGGACAUGUAUCGCUUCCCCAAUCAAUACUCUUGUGAUUUCCUAUGCCUGACUUUACUUUAAUCUCUUAAUCCUGUCAUCUUCGUAAGCUGAGGAUGUAUGUCAUCUCAGGACCCUGUGAUGAUUGCGUUAACUGCACAGAUUGUUUGUAGGGCAUGUGUGUUUGAACAAUAUGAAAUCUGGGCACCUUAAGAACAGGAUAACAGCGAUUUUCAGGGAACAAGGGAGAUAACCUUAAAGUCUGGCUGCCUGUGGGACGGGCAGGACAGAGCCAUAUUUCUCCUAUUACCAAAAACGGGUAAGAGAAAUAUCGCUGAAUUCUUUCCCCAGUAAGGAAUAUUAAUAAUUAACAGCCCUGGGAAAAUAAUGCAUUCCCAGGGCAGUGCCUCUAAAAUGGCUGCCCUGGGAGUGUCUGCCUUAUGCACAUGUAGAUAGGGAUGAAACACACCCUAGUCUCCUGCAGCGCCCCCAGGCUUGCUAGGAUUAGGAAAUUCCAGCCUGGCGAACUCUAGUCAGACCAGUUCUCUGCUCUUGAACCCUGUUAAGAUGUUUAUAAAUGACAAUGCGUGCACAGCAGGACAUGGAAGCUCAUGAGUGAUUCUAGUUUUGCCCUGACCUUGUGAUCUCGCCCUGACCUUCUGCCUUGUGAUCUUUUGUUGCCCUUAAAGCAUGUGAUCUCUGUGACCCACACCCUAUUCGUACACUCCCUCCC
rnacentral:lncRNA from 1 species